CAGCCCUGCCAAAGCUGGGCAACUGGCAGUCAGUAUACGUCCUUGCCUUGUUAACCUUAAGCUGCGUCUGUAGCUGAGACCCUUCUGAUUCCUGUCCUGACUGGACAACUAAUGUGGUUUUGUUUCUUUCUACGUAGAGAUUCUGUCUCUCCUGUAUUUCUGCAAGUUGAAAGAACAAUACGUGGUCUUCAUCUUACUGCCAAGCUUGUUGCCUUUCUGAAGGAAUCCCAGCUGUUGAUGUUGCCAUGAAAAUGACAAAGAUACAUGAAAAUUGCACAGAACGUGGAGCACGGGUUUGCAACCUUCAUCAUUAGUUAUCAACUAAUUCCAGAGGUUUACCCAUGAACUGACACUAUUAAGAUCUUCUUUAAGGCACAUCUAAAUGGACAAAUUCCACCAAUGUGAUGGUAGAAGACUUACAUUUCUGACUCUUGCUAGACUUAUCAAGUUCCAAAACUAAAAGUGCUCCAAAAUAUCCUGCUGGUGCCACUGCAAAAAUUAAGCUUGAGUCUAAGCCAAUACAAAGGAAUCUUCAUGGCUGUACAUUGGCUUGGCUGGAGAAAUGGCAAAGCUUCAUGGCUACACCCAGACUUAUCAAACUUCAUAAAUAUAUAAAAUUGAGGAAUUUUUUUAUUCCCACUAUUUGGUAAGGUCUAAAUAAAGCCUUUGAAACUUCACUUACUCAUGCAAAUGUUUAAAAUGCAGCUGUUCAAACUGGAACGCGUACAUUCAUCAAAACAAGAGGACUAACUGGCGUUCAUCAGGGAUUGGAACCCACUAGAUCCAUGGAUCAGGCAUGUAACAACCUUACAGUGACUGAAGUCUUGAAGAUCAAAUGGCUUUAGUUUUAUAUUCCUGUCAUUUUUGCCAGUACAGAUGAGGAAGACCUGUUGGAUCAUUGUCUCACUUACUACAGAUUAGAAAGGAUACGGCUAAGAUAACUUCACAUAGGUGGCUUAAUUCUGAAUGUCUACAAAAGCUGAAAGGUCUUACUGUGAUCCUCUUUGUACAGUUGAAGCCCACUGAGUGUGCAGAAUCAGAUCUUAACAGAUCCACAGGCCUGGCUUCCUACUUCAUUUCAGACAAGACCAGUUAAUUACUUCAAGCAGCAGUUCUUUGCCAGCUGAUGAAAAGCUCAGCUAACUCAUAGCAGCCUCCAACAGAUGAGUACACAGCAGUUACCUCAGGUGCCAGAAGAGUCCCAGGUACAAAAAUAUACCUCAUCUCAGUGACUAAGCUUCCCAGCUCUGUCCUCUCCUGUGAGUCCUAUGCAGAAGGAGUCCUGCUGUUGGCAUUGGACUUUCUCCUGAGCUGAAACACGUGCAGUAAAUAUCCUAGCCCAGAUGACUUUGCUCUUAAAUUGCUUAUAAGAGUGGAUGAACUUCACAACUCCUAGUAUAUAAAGGCCUUCAAAUCUUGCUGUGGUAUGAUUGAUAUGAUCUAAAAAGGAAGUAUUUGGGACAGUUUUUAGCUUUAUCUGGGUCUUAGCUUUUGUUUGGAAGGACAGCAGCAUUUUUAGUUAGUCAUAACUGAGAUCCUGAAUAAGAAAACAGAGCCAGCAUCCUUCACAAGAUCACAGAAUAGUUCAUCCUCUACCCUCACCUAAAGUGAGACCUGAGCUUUAGCUUCACUUCCUUUUCUCUCUUUCCUCUCCAAAGUAUGGGACCAAAUAAUGGGGGCAUUGCCUUGCUGCUGAUCCCUAGCAGAUACUGAUACAGAUACAGCAGCCCUGAGGAAUGGCUGAAGCCUAGCUUUGAAAUCCUGGUGGCUGAAGGAGUAAGUGAACCACAAGGCUUAAUGUUUUGUAUUUUCUCUUCCCUGAAAACAUAAUUUCAGGCUACAGAGAGUUUCCUACCUAGCAAUCUCCUCUAGACAUCUGCUUGUGGUAUAGACAGUUGCAUUCCCAAAGAGGAAAGAAAUAUGAAAGUGAAGGAACCAUUUAUCUUCAGCCUAUGGCACACAUUUUUGAUAUGAGAUGAAAGACCAGGCCCGAGCUGAAUCUUAGUUUUAUUAUGAACCAAUAUAAUUUCCACAAAUUAAUAUACUUUGAAACAAACGCAGUCUCUGUGAGUUGGUUUCUUUUAAAAGUAUUGCCAGCAUUUUCUUUGUUGUUCAUCUGCCAAGAGUUACAUUUGAGGCAGUCAGUGCUAGAUGGGCUAAGCAAGUCCAAAUUCUUCUCUACCUAGAGAGAUUUGUUGGCAUAACUACAUUAAUGUAGUGGUCUUCUUACAAUUCCUUAUUCUGGAAGAAAAGUGCACAGUAAUGCUGCUGGAUUACUUUAAAAUUUUUUGUCAGUCUCAUUCAGUAAGCGGAAAUUUUAAACAAAAUAUUAUUAAUAGCACUAAAACUACACACAUAAAUGCUGCUGUCAUUAGUCAGUCUGCAUAUAAAUCAAUCAGUCUAUAAAACAGGGAAAUUUUUGUUGAUGCAUUUUUUUUUUCUUACUGUAAGAAAUUCUUUGAAACAACACAGUAAAAAAACUUAUCUGACAUAAGUGAAUAUGUGGGUAUGCAUGUAUGGAAAGUGCUCCAUACACAGAACAAUGUAACAGAAAAUAAAUCACUCAUCCUGA